AGGGAAUCUUCCACAAUGGACGCAAGUCUGAUGGAGCAACGCCGCGUGAGUGAAGAAGGCUUUCGGGUCGUAAAACUCUGUUAUUGAAGAAGAACGUGUGUGACAGUAACUGGUCAUGCAGUGACGGUAUUCAAUCAGAAAGUCACGGCUAACUACGUGCCAGCAGCCGCGGUAAUACGUAGGUGGCAAGCGUUGUCCGGAUUUAUUGGGCGUAAAGCGAGUGCAGGCGGUCUUUUAAGUCUGAUGUGAAAGCCUUCGGCUUAACCGAAGAAGGGCAUCGGAAACUGGGAGACUUGAGUGCAGAAGAGGAGAGUGGAACUCCAUGUGUAGCGGUGAAAUGCGUAGGUAUAUGGAAGAACACCAGUGGCGAAGGCGGCUCUCUGGUCUGUAACUGACGCUGAGGCUCGAAAGCGUGGGUAGCAAACAGGAUUAGAUACCC
rnacentral:rRNA from 1 species